rnacentral:lncRNA from 1 species
AAAAAACUUCAAAACCUCUCCCCAACCCUCUCCUUUCAGGCCAAGGGGCCCGGCCGCAGGCCACCGCGCCGACCGGCGCCGCCGUAGGCGGCGGUCAGAAGGCGAAAGGUCGGGUUUUUUAACCCCGUUGCAAGGCCUUUCAUAGAUCAGGCUCUCCUAUCCUUAAAGCCGAGAGGAAAAUCCCCAAAAGCCGCCAUCCCCGUCCAUUUUCGGUGACCCGAAGGACUCCGGCGACAACUCAAACGCGGCGUUCAGGUAAGUUUCGUUUAUUACUUUAAGCCUAUUAACCGUGAAAGAAAAGAAAGAGCGAAAACAGAAUCGAAUCGAAAAAAAAAGUCUAAAAAUAUCACCUUUAAACUGAUUUUUUCUUUUCUAUUUCUUCAAUAUUGUUUCCAAAAAAAACCGAACCAUUUUUACAAAGAUUUUUGGUGGCUUUAUAGCCGAUUUUACAUGCGUUUUUCUAAUCUAUUUCUAUUUGCUGAUGUUUCCUUUUUGUCAUUGCAGGUAUGGACGCACGUGGGUGGAGGUGACAGUGGCAGUUGGUGGUGGUUGCUGGCAGAGCAGGUGGGCGAAGGCCAAAGGUCAGAAGACCCUAGGAGCGGCGCCUAGGGUUCUUAUGUUUUCUGCUAGGUUUUUUUGUUUUGGGUUUAGUGGGCUGCUGGACUGUAAUUUGGGCCUGUAUUUUGAGUUUAAUUGGGCCCCGGGCAAAAUGGCCUGCAACAGGCAUGUACUUAAGCUUAUUAGUAAUAAUGUGAAUUAUGUACGAAAGAUAAUGUUUUGUGUUAUAAAAUACCUCGGUUAUAUUGAAAUAAGAAUGAAUUGAAGUGAUGAGUUUAGUGUUAAAUGUAGAAUCUCUUGUUCAAAUUUGUUAUCGGAUCAUGUGAGAGGUGUUACAGCUAAAAUAUAAAUUACCCUUUCUUUUUUCUUAAGAUAGAUGUAUUUUUUAAAUUAAAUUCGUGCAUAAAAUAAUAUUUUUACUAAAAUAUUAAAUAAGAAAAAGGAAUUUAAGAAAAAAAAACAUUUUAUCCAACAACAUAUUCUUAAUGCAAGAAACUUAAAUCAAGGAAUCGAAAGCCUAGAACAAGCAAUUAAACUUAUUUUAUAUGAUCCACCAUUAAAAUUUUAGAAUAUGAUAAACAAGCAAUCAAAUAUUAAGUGCACAAUUUUAGAUUUACUGUACAAGAGCCGAGAAUGAGAUCAGAUGGCUUCCUACAAUUAAUUAAACCGUGUUGCAGUACCUCUCUGGCAUAAACUUCGCUUGUAAACUUCUAUAAGCUGUCACUUCAAUGACCUUCAUCAACUUGCACCUCUAACCUAAAUUGUAGAAAAUCAAUUGAUAACGAAUUCACAAUCCACGGAUUGUGGGCUCAUAAUGCUAAUAACAAAUCAAUGUCUCAUUAUAAUUCACAUAAUCCAUACACCGGUGGAUAGGUGCAAGGAUUGUUUGAAUCAUAAGAGCAUUGAUUUGGUCUUAGCAUUAGUCUUAGCAUUAUGUGUCCAUAUACCAUGGAUCGUGAACUCAUUAAGAAUUGGUGGUCUACAACUCAGAUUAGAGCUAUAGGCUAAUAAUGGCCAUUGAAGAAAAAGCUUACGAAAAUUACAAGCGAAGUUGAUGCCGGUAGGGGUGCUGCAAAUGCUGCUCAAAAUGAAAAGAGAAGAGCAAGAGGAGUACUCUCUCGCCCUCUCUACAUAUAUAUAUAUAUAUAUAUAUAUAUAUAUAUAUAAAAGCAUAUACUCUUCUCCAUGCUGCACAUUAUUGCAAAAAAAGAAAACACACAAGGGACCAAUCUUUGAUCUUCGCAAAGGUCAUUUGAGAUCAAAGGAGAAGAACAAGAAAAACAAAGGUGAGG